UACAGAGGUCUCAAGCGUUGUUCGGAUUCAUUGGGCGUAAAGGGUGCGUAGGUGGCGUCGUAAGUCGGGUGUGAAAUUUCGGAGCUUAACUCCGAAACUGCAUUCGAUACUGCCGUGCUUGAGGACUGGAGAGGAGACUGGAAUUUACGGUGUAGCGGUGAAAUGCGUAGAUAUCGUAAGGAAGACCAGUGGCGAAGGCGGGUCUCUGGACAGUUCCUGACGCUGAGGCACGAAGGUCAGGGGAGCAAACGGG
rnacentral:rRNA from 1 species